UACGGAGGGUGCGAGCGUUGUCCGGAAUCACUGGGCGUAAAGGGCGCGUAGGUGGCCCGUUAAGUGUGUGGUGAAAGCCCGGGGCUCAACCCCGGGUCGGCCAUGCAAACUGGGGGGCUGGAGCACGUGUAGAGGCAGGCGGAAUUCCGGGUGUAGCGGUGGAAUGCGUAGAGAUCGGAAGAACACCGGUGGCGAAGGCGGCCUGCUGGGCAGGUGCUGACACUGAGGCGC
rnacentral:rRNA from 1 species